rnacentral:tRNA from 1 species
UGGAGUGUGGCUCAGUGGUAGAGCACUUGCCUAGCAUGUGUGAGGCACUGGGUUCAAUCCCUGGCACCACAU